rnacentral:rRNA from 1 species
GACAGAGGUGCCGAGCGUUAGGCGGAAUCACUGGGCUUAAAGCGUGUGUAGGCGGAUCGUUAAGUGCCUUGUGAAAUCCCACGGCUCAACCGUGGAACUGCUCGGCAUACUGGCGAUCUUGAGCCACUUAGGGGCUACCGGAACAAAUGGUGGAGCGGUGAAAUGCGUAGAUAUCAGGAAGAACACCCGUGGCGAAGGCGGCUCUCUGGUACGUGACUGACGCUGAGACGCGAAAGCGUGGGGAGCAAACAGG